AACGAACGCUGGCGGCAGGCUUAACACAUGCAAGUCGAGGGGUAGAGGCUUUCGGGCCUUGAGACCGGCGCACGGGUGCGUAACGCGUAUGCAAUCUGCCUUGUACUGGGGGAUAGCCCAGAGAAAUUUGGAUUAAUACCCCAUAGUAUUUUCGGUUGGCAUCAACUGAUUAUUAAAGUUUUUCGGUACAAGAUGAGCAUGCGUCCCAUUAGCUAGUUGGUAUGGUAACGGCAUACCAAGGCUACGAGGGGUAGGGGUCCUGAGAGGGAGAUCCCCCACACUGGUACUGAGACACGGACCAGACUCCUACGGGAGGCAGCAGUGAGGAAUAUUGGUCAAUGGUCGCAAGACUGAACCAGCCAUGCCGCGUGCAGGAUGAAGCAUCUAUGGUGUGUAAACUGCUUUUGUACGGGAAGAAACACUCCUACGUGUAGGGGCUUGACGGUACCGUAAGAAUAAGGAUCGGCUAACUCCGUGCCAGCCGCCGCGGUAA
rnacentral:rRNA from 1 species